rnacentral:misc_RNA from 1 species
AAGUCGUAACAAGGUUUCCGUAGGUGAACCUGCGGAAGGAUCAUCGUUGGUUUUUGUGUCUGUGGGCACUGACAAUUUUUCUUUCGAAUCCCAACCAGGAGGAGAGGAGUUGACUGAGGUUUGCGUGGAGGGAGAAAAGGACAAAACUUUCAACAACGGAUCUCUUGGCUCUCA